rnacentral:lncRNA from 1 species
GAACCUUCAGAGACCAUCAUCCUUCUCACCCUGCAGAUGCUGAACACAGAUGAAGGGUAUGACGGGUGCUGGGAGCAGGACACCCAUUUUGAGUGACAGAGUUAAUGAAGUUAGACACACACCAACAACCCAUGACAGGGAAUGCAGUCUCCUCUUUCCCUCCCUUCAGCCAUACAUUUUGACCCUUCCAUGCUGUCUAUGCAUGCAAAAAAGAAUGUGCCUGGGCACACGACUGCAAAAAUAAAGAGCCAUUUUGUUUUACAUUGGAAAGACAUCCAAAGAAGAUGUACAAUGACUACUCAAUUCCAGAUGGCAUUUUAAUUGAAGAUCACUUUGUUGUUAAAACGCCUCCCUUGAUCUAGACUUAAGGAACAGAAUGUAUGAAACUGGCCAUAAAAAGGGUGGCCAGUCUAAACCCUAAAAGACCAUUCUUGCAUUAAAAAGAAAAUAAAAC